rnacentral:tRNA from 3 species
GGAAGAUUGGCAGAGUCGGUUAAUGCCCCGGUUUGCUAAACCGAGAGUGUGUGAAAAACGCAGCGGAGGUUCAAGUCCUCCAUCUUCCGCCA